rnacentral:rRNA from 1 species
CUAGGAUGAACGCUAGCUACAGGCUUAACACAUGCAAGUCGAGGGGCAGCAUGAAGUUUGCUUGCAAACUUGAUGGCGACCGGCGCACGGGUGAGUAACGCGUAUCCAACCUUCCCUAUAGUAGAGGAUAGCCCGGCGAAAGUCGGAUUAAUACUCUAUGUUUUCCAAUGCAGACAUCUAAAAUGGAACAAAGGUUUACCGCUAUAGGAUGGGGAUGCGUCUGAUUAGGUAGUCGGCGGGGUAACGGCCCACCGAGCCCUCGAUCAGUAGGGUUCUGAGAGGAAGGUCCCCCACAUUGGAACUGAGACACGGUCCAAACUCCUACGGGAGGCAGCAGUGAGGAAUAUUGGUCAAUGGGCGAGAGCCUGAACCAGCCAAGUAGCGUGCAGGAUGACGGCCCUAUGGGUUGUAAACUGCUUUUAUGCGGGGAUAAAGUGGGGAACGUGUUCCCUUUUGUAGGUACCGCAUGAAUAAGGACCGGCUAAUUCCGUGCCAGCAGCCGC